GGGCCCGCACAAGCGGUGGAGCAUGUGGUUUAAUUCGAUGAUACGCGAGGAACCUUACCAGGGCUUAAAUGCAGAACGACCGGGGUGGAAACACCCCUUUCUUCGGACGGUCUGCAAGGUGCUGCAUGGUUGUCGUCAGCUCGUGCUGUGAAGUGUCGGGUUAAGUCCCAUAACGAGCGCAACCCCUAUUUCUAGUUGCCAGCGGUUCGGCCGGGGACUCUAGAGAAACUGCCAGCGUAAGCUGUGAGGAAGGUGGGGAUGACGUCAAAUCAUCAUGGCCCUUACGAGUAGGGCUACACACGUGCUACAAUGGGGAAUACAGACGGACGCUAAGCCGCGAGGUGGUGCU
rnacentral:rRNA from 1 species